rnacentral:rRNA from 1 species
UACGGGGGGGGCAAGCGUUGUUCGGAAUUACUGGGCGUAAAGGGUUUGUAGGUGGCUCGCUAAGUCAGACGUGAAAUCCCUCAGCUUAACUGGGGAACUGCGUCUGAGACUGGUGAGCUUGAGUGCAGGAGAGGAACGCGGAAUUCCAGGUGUAGCGGUGAAAUGCGUAGAUAUCAGGAGGAACACCGGUGGCGAAGGCGGGUCUCUGGGCAGUAACUGACGCUGGAGGAGCGAAAGCGUGGGGAGCAAACAGG